rnacentral:snRNA from 1 species
GUGCUUGCUUUGACUGCACAUGUACUAAAAUUGGAUGGAUACAGAGAAAAUUAGCAUGGUCUUUGCACAAGAAUAACAUGCAAAUCAUGAAAUAUUCCAGAUUCUU